ensembl:lncRNA UBE2Q2P1 UBE2Q2 pseudogene 1
AGCCCUUUCCCAGGCGGUAGCGGGGGCGGUGGUGCUGUUGUCCUUUUAAGCUGUGGCUUGACAGGAGGAGCGCCUCCUGUCGGUGGAGUCUGUUACAAGGGGAGCAGCCGCCCAGGCCGCCACACAGCUCCCCGCAGAGGCCUCGGUGCCCCUUGCCAUUUUCCAGCCCUACUCCGACUAGAGUUGAGGCAGCGGGGAGAGGCGGAGCCGCGAGAGCGCCGCCGAGAGGUCCCGCGGGUGGUCGCGGCCAUGACAGCGGCUCCCGACCGGCUCACCUUCCGCGCCCCUCCCGCCAGAGGUGAGAGUAAAAUGUCCGUGUCAGGGUUCAAGGCCAAGCUGAAGUUGUUGUCCUCUAUUUUCCACAAGAACCAGGAGCCGCCGCGGCAGCUCAGGCUCCACUGCAACAUCACGGUGAGGCGCCCAGCGGCGGCUUCACACGGCAGGGCGAGGGCGGAGAGGAAGAGCCCGGAGUCCCGGGACAAAGGGGAACCUGCCCAGGAGAGGCCCCGGUUCCCCGGGCCGGUCAGGUUUUCCUUGUUCCCGCAUGUUCAGCCAAUCGUGUUUAAGGAGAAACUAACAAUGAAAACGGGCUUGUUGAUGGAGGAAAAGUUGGAAUGCAGCCUCUGGUGCUGUUUGAGCGAUCCCUCUAUCCCGGGUCGCUGCUGUGUUCUGGAAAGGCACAUUGUACCCUGGAUGCAGCAGCUUCAUCAGCAAUGGAAGUGGCUGAUAUGUGGACUCUGCAGAUUAUAUAACCUUCCUAAGCACCCGAAUGUUGAGAUGCCAGAUCAACCACUACCCAUGGGUCAGAAUGGGACAACAGAAGAAGUGACUUCAAAAGAAGAGGAAGAAGAAGAGAUGGAUGAAGAUAUAGAAGACUUAGAUCACUGUGAGAUGAAAGAAGAGCCUACUAGUGAGAAGAAGUUGGAGGAUGAAGGAACUGAAAAAGAAAACUGGGCAAUAUUAGAGAAAAUUAGGAAGACUGAAAGGCAAGGCCAUUUAAAUGUGCUGCAGUGUCUGGGUCAGUGCAAGCUUCAGAUAGACUUAAGAAAGAGUUCAGGGACUUAUACAGAUCACAGAGUUAUAAGACAGGUUGACCCUGAUAGUUCUUUGCACAGUGAUCUUCAGAUCUUAAAAGAAAAAGAAGAGAUAGGAGACAUUUUGCUUAUGUUUUAAGGUAUGUAUUGGGUAGAGGAGCAUUAUAUAUGGAACCUCUCACAAAACAGGUGAUUAUUUUCUUAUUAUACUCAAUUUUCACCCUGAAUAGAGUGUUUUGAUUAUGUAAGUUAGAUCGUAAGUAGAUGGCUCUCUUAAAGACAUUUUAGUGGUUUUUUGUUUGUUUUGUUUUGUUUUGCUUUUUUCCGUAGCUCCUACUUUCAAGAAUGAAAAAGGUAUCCCAGCAGUUUGGGAGGCUGAGGCGGGCGGAUCACGAGGUCAGGAGAUUGAGACCAUCCUGGCUAACACGGUGAAACCCCGUCUUUACUAAAAAAUACAAAAAAAUUAGCCAGGCGUGAUGGCAGGCGACUGUAGUCCCAGCUACUCGGGAGGCUGAGGCAGGAGAAUGGCGUGAACCCGGGAGGCAGAGCUUGCAGUGAGCUGAGAUGGUGCCACUGCACUCCAGCCUGGGUGACAGA